GAUAUAGAUGGGGCUGCCUAUGGGAUUGUUUAUCUUUCCGUUGAUUUUCUUGCACUAAUUACUUUUUUAUUUUUAUAUGGAAGAAUAGGUUGUACUAUUUAUAGACAUUUUAAACGAAAUAAACGUGUAAAGAACAAGUUCACAUUCAUGUUUAUGAUUAUAACCAUAGUGUUUAGUGUUAGUACUUCGCCCGUUGGUGUUAUUUUAACAUUAGAAGGAAUUAUGCAUGAUUUCUGGGAUAAUUUAACAAUGACCCAAC
rnacentral:lncRNA from 1 species